rnacentral:misc_RNA from 1 species
CCGAGUUAUAACUCUCUAAAACCCAUUGUGAACGACUACCACUGUUGCUUCGGCGGAUCAGCCGCUCCGGUAACGGACGGCCCGCCAGAGGAACCCUAAACUCUUGUUAUUAUAUGUUAACUUCUGAGUAAACCUAUUAAAUAAGUCAA